ACACCCGUUCCCAUACCGAACACGGAAGUUAAGCUCUCUAGCGCCGAUGGUAGUUGGGACUUUGUCCCUGUGAGAGUAGGACGUUGCCAGGC
rnacentral:rRNA from 1 species